GAUGAACGCUAGCGGGAGGCCUAACACAUGCAAGCUGAGCGGUAGAGAUCUUUCGGGAUCUUGAGAGCGGCGUACGGGUGCGGAACACGUGUGCAACCUGCCUUUAUCAGAGGGAUAGCCUUUCGAAAGGAAGAUUAAUACCUCAUAAUAUAAUGAAUGGCAUCAUUUAUUAUUGAAAACUCCGGUGGAUAGAGAUGGGCACGCGCAAGAUUAGAUAGUUGGUGAGGUAACGGCUCACCAAGUCGAUGAUCUUUAGGGGGCCUGAGAGGGUGAUCCCCCACACUGGUACUGAGACACGGACCAGACUCCUACGGGAGGCAGCAGUGAGGAAUAUUGGACAAUGGGUUAGCGCCUGAUCCAGCCAUCCCGCGUGAAGGACGACGGCCCUAUGGGUUGUAAACUUCUUUUGUACAGGGAUAAACCUACCCUCGUGAGGGUAGCUGAAGGUACUGUACGAAUAAGCACCGGCUAACUCCGUGCCAGCCGCCGCCGUAAGAC
rnacentral:rRNA from 1 species